GACCCACACAAGCUGACAAUGCACCCCAGCGGGUCUCUAAGACACCUAUAGAGGCUGUCCUUCUUCUGAGCCCUCCUGGUAGCAUGCCGCCUGUCCCAUUCGCUACUUGUUUCACAGUUCAGGGACCCUGGGAGGUCACCCAAGACCCAGUUUUGCUCUUUGGAAGCGUGGAGACCUUCUCAGAGAGAUCUGAGACCAUCCCCAACCCCCAGACCUCAUCUAGAUGCGAUGGCAGAGACAGGACAGCUCUGAAUUUCCAGGAAGGAACUCCAGGAUUCUCAUCCCCUCCCAAUGAGAAGGGUGGAAAGGGUAAAGGAUCUCUCUGGCAUCUUCUGCAAGAGGCUAAUCUUAUUCACAAGGGCUCCACCCUCAUCACUCUGAUCACCUCCCAAAGGCCCUACUACCAUCACCUUCCAUAUUAAUUUCAAGAUAAACUUGCCAUUAUAAUAAUAAUAAAUUUAAAAAAAAUAAACUUGCUGAGUUCUACAGAAUAGUCUGCUGGGAUUUUGAUUUGAAACACAUUGAAUCUAUAGGCAAAUUUGGGAAAGAAUUGAUAUUUUGAUAAUACUGAGUCUUCUGAACCAUGAACAAGGUAUAUAGCGCCACUUAUUUUUCUUGAAUUUCUCUCAGCAAUGUUUUUUUGUAUAGGCUUUGCAUGUAUUUUCUCAGAUCUGUGCCUUAGCAUUUGAUGUUCAAAAAACAUAGCAGCAAUGGCCACGGUCACCAAACUGUGGAAAGAACCAAGAUGCCCUUCAACGGAGGAAUGGAUAAGGAAGAUGUGGUCCAUAUACACUAGGGAGUAUUACGCCUCCAUCAGAAAGGAUGAAUACCCAACUUUUGUAGCAACAUGGACGGGACUGGAAGAGAUAUGCUGAGUGAAAUAAGUCAAGCAGAGAGAGUCAAUUAUCAUAUGGUUUCACUUAUUUGUGGAGCAUAACAAAUAGCAUGGAGGACAUGGGGAGUUAGAGAGGAGAAGGGAGUUGGGGGAUUGGAAGGGGAGGUGAACCAUGAGAGACUAUGGACUCUGAAAAACAACUGAGGGUUUUGAAGGGUCAGGGGGUGGGAGGUUGGGGUACCAGGAGGUGGGUAUUAUAGAGGGCACAUAUUGCAUGGAGCACUAGGUGUGGUGCAAAAAUAAUGAAUACUGUCA
rnacentral:lncRNA from 1 species